UCCACGUACACGUGCCGUGGGGGGGCACGUACGAAGAGGGCAGCCCACGUGUCUGCAUAUUCACGUAUGUGGCACGUGCAGCACGCACAGUGUGUGUACGUGCGUGUCCCUGUGUGUCCAGGGACGUAGACAACCUGGCCUCCAGGAGUUUCGGACGUCCUUCCCACCCCAAGACCUCUGGCCCCACCGCUCUCCCAGGCUGUCAGAGGUGGAGACACCUGGGGGCCCGGGAAGGCGGGCUGCAGCCAUGCAGCAGACAGGACCCCGGGAAGCAGCGCAGGAAGCUCCGGAUGGUCGAGGCCUGGGUCAGCAGCACGUGGCUGGGGCCGUGGAACUGACAGGAAGACUCUCUGUGCGUGUCCCACGGCCCCUGAAGGAAGCCAGGUGUUCUUUGGGGAGGGCGAUCUGGGGCAAGUAUGGUCACAUGGGUGGGGGCAGGAGGGCCCUGAUGUGGGUGUGCCUGCGGGAUCCGCCGGCCGGGGGCAGGGCUGGGGGCCUUGUAGGAGUGACCGGUGUCCUGGGAGGUGGGUCACAGCCUGGCGGGAGGGCCCAGCUGAGGGGCAGAGCUGACUGGCAUCUAGAGGGACCCCUCUGGCCACAGACUGGACGAGAGAUUCUCAGGGACCAAGGGCAGGGAGCCACACAGGACUCUGGUGUCCUGUCCCCAGAAGAAGGGCUUGGGUUGGGGGUGUGCUGGUCUGACCGCAGGGCUGGAGUCUGGACGGGUGGGGAGCCUGCAGGGGAGCGGACGAGCGCAUGAGGGCUCCGGAGAGUCAGGCCAGGGUGGGGCUGAGCCAGUGGGCACCGGGGACACCUGCAGGUGUGGGCGGGGGGCUCGGGUUAAGGCCUGCUCCCCAGAGGCCCAGCUGUGCUCCCUGUGGGUGAGGGGGGAGCUGGGUUAGAAGAACCGAGUCAGGAGUGAGAGCCUCAGGCACAAGGUGGGUGAGGCCACAGCUCCAGCCAAGAAAAGGUAGCCACAGAGCUACGGUGAUUUUUCCCACAUGGAUUUAUUGUUGGUGAUGCGUCACACAAGAUGCCGACCACGGACACAGACAGACACAUGCGACACCCGUUAUCUAUGCAGAGUACUCAGCUCCUCAGAAGGAGGCAGACCCGGUUCCUGUUGGCCACGACCCCCGACAGUACACGAGCUGGUUUCCCUGCGCGGGGAGCUCCUCGGCCCCGGGCACCAGGGUCCCCUUGCUGGGCCACCACGCGGCAGGGUUCUGACUUCUGGCAGCUGCUUCCCUCCAGGCGACGCGGGCCGCAGUCUGCACCGGCGUGGCUGAUAUUCCUUAACCGACAACUGGAACGUUGGCAAGCAGAUGUUCAGAAACCAACCCUGCGUUCUGAGAACUGGCUUUGAUUCACAGGGAAAAAGGAUUUAAAACAGCCAUUCCCUAACGUAAACGGUGUUGUUACUGAUGCGACGUGUGCCUGCGAGAAAUCAAGUCCCGGGGGGGCUUCCUCUCCAGGGCCCAGGUCUCCAGGCCGCCUGCCACGGGCACGCUGUGUGGUCAGGGCCCGCCAGGUAGGCACGCGCUCCACACGUGAGGAGCACGCCUUCUCCCAUGGCCGGGGGUCCACGUGAGGUGGCCACGGCUGACUGGGGUUCACUCGGACCCCCCGGAGUUUUAUUUCUCUUGGCUAGAAGGAAAUACAGAGCAUCUGCGCUGCACACGCCGGGGCCCUUGGGGGGCCGCGAGCGACUGGGUGCGUGGCGUGGAGACACGUGGUGGCCCCCAGUUUGUUGCCUUGUGCGGUUUCCCCGCUGUGCCUUCUGCACAAUGAGGCGAAAUAUGACAACGGGCUUUCUUAAGUUGAGCCCAAACGGAACACCCAGGAAGUUACAAGCACUGGGCUCUUGGCAUCCACAAUUACCACUUUUCUCCUCAACACACGGGCGACAGCAGGACCCGCGCUGCAGGGCGGCCGGGGAGGGGAGCUGGUGGGGCACACACGGAACGCGGACGGACGGACGUCUUCUACCUGCGGGGACGGCACAGAUCUACGGCAAGUGAUCACAGCGACACAGCACGGACGGCCAGUCCCGUCCUGGCGGCAAGGAAGGGGCGCAGGGGGUCAGGGCUGAGCCUCUGCGUGGUGCGGUCCCGGGGAUGCAGAAGGGGGACCCUCCGAGCAGCCGUCUCUCCCGAAGCCCGGCUUCCCGCGGCGGGGCCCCCCGGCCUCUGCGUCCUCUACACCAGGAGCCAGUGGCGCAGCUAGAAAGGAAACGGCCUCUUCAGGAGCAAAGCGGGGAGCCACUUGGGUAAAGGCGGCUCCUGGGCUGCGGGCCCCGCUCGGGCCGAGAGACCCGCCAGCAGAGCGCCCGGCCGCCACGCAGCACGCUCAGCCGGGCACGCUGGCCUGGGGCGCCACGGGCCGGACGCCCACGGUAAGCUUGUAGGAAUACGCCUCGCGUAAACAGCCUUCCACGUAAUGUAAACAUACGUGCAUAAACCACACGUGAAUACUUA